rnacentral:rRNA from 1 species
GUGUCAGCCGCCGCGGUAAUACGGAGGGUGCAAGCGUUGUUCGGAAUCACUGGGCGUAAAGCGGGUGUAGGCGGUUUGGCAAGUCAGGUGUGAAAGCCCGGGGCUCAACCCCGGAAGUGCACUUGAUACUGCCAUCCUUGAGUACGGGAGAGGAGAGUGGAAUUCCCGGUGUAGAGGUGAAAUUCGUAGAUAUCGGGAGGAACACCCGUGGCGAAGGCGACUCUCUGGACCGAUACUGACGCUGAGACCCGAAAGCGUGGGGAGCAAACAGGAUUAGAUACCCUGGUAGUCCACGCCGUAAACGAUGAGAACUAGGUGUAGCGGGUAUUGACCCCUGCUGUGCCGAAGCUAACGCAUUAAGUUCUCCGCCUGGGGAGUACGGCCGCAAGGCUAAAACUCAAAUGAAUUGACGGGG